rnacentral:sRNA from 1 species
UCGCGAAGUCUUCGUCAAUCAGCGAGA